AAUUAAGCAUAUCAGUAAGCGGAGGAAAAGAAACUAACCAGGAUUCUCCUAGUAACGGCGAGUGAACGGAGAUUUAGCCCAUCACCGAAGUCUAUUCGCGUAUGCGGACAGGACAAUGUGGUGUUGAGGCGUGUACCUGGGGCUGCCAGUCUACCCGAAGUCCAACUCCGAUUGCGGCUUUGGAUUGUGUCCGUAGCGGGUGAAAGACCCGUGCGGGUAGGCUUAUUUGUAUGGCUAACCCUCAGAUGUACGCGCCGUCGAGUCGGAUUGCUUGAGAAUGCAGUCCAAAUUGGGUGGUAAACUCCAUCCAAGGCUAAAUACUGGCACGAGUCCGAUAGUAGACAAGUACCGUGAGGGAAAGUUGAAAAGUACUCUGAAGAGAGAGUAAACAGCACGUGAAACCGUUUGCAGGGAAGCUGUUGGAGUCAAGCUUCAUGCUGGGAGAAUUGUCAUCAGAUGCAUUUUGUGUGUGUCUGUGGCGGUGUGCUCGGUCAACUUGGAAUAAGUUGGAUGUGUCUCAGGCACAUUUCAGGUCAUUCUGGGUAGUUUGUCUGUACCGGGCACGCAUAGUCACGCAUCUGGUGCUGAAUUUUCCAAGGCAUACAUCAUGGUCUAUAGUGUGUGUGCAUGGUGAGCGUCGAACAGUGCUCUUGCUAGCUUCUGGCUGGCAGGGCGCUGGACAGCAGGUUGAGUCACUUAUUGUAUGAUUGGUGACACUUAUAUUGGUUUCGACCGGCUGACGUUCAUUGUAGUGCAUCCAUGCUAUUGUAAUUACUUUCUGGUUGAUUAGCUUAACAGCUAGUCGCCUUGUUGAAUACCCAUGAUGCUGAGGUAGACGUUCCAACAGUCCCGUCUUGA
rnacentral:rRNA from 1 species